rnacentral:rRNA from 1 species
AACGAACGCUGGCGGCAGGCUUAACACAUGCAAGUCGAGCGCCCCGCAAGGGGAGCGGCAGACGGGUGAGUAACGCGUGGGAAUCUACCCAUCCCUACGGAAUAGCUCCGGGAAACUAGAAUUAAUACCGGAUACGCCCUACGGGGGAAAGAUUUAUCGGGGAUGGAUGAGCCCGGGUUGGAUUGGCUAGUUGGUGGGGUAAAGGCCUACCAAGGCGACGAUCCAUAGCUGGUCUGAGAGGAUGAACAGCCACAUUGGGACUGAGACACGGCCCAAACUCCUACGGGAGGCAGCAGUGGGGAAUAUUGGACAAUGGGGGCAACCCUGAUCCAGCCAUGCCGCGUGAGUGAUGAAGGCCUUAGGGUUGUAAAGCUCUUUCACCGGGGAAGAUAAUGACGGUACCCGGAGAAGAAGCCCCGGCUAACUUCGUGCCAGCCGCCGCAGUAAAAC